rnacentral:rRNA from 1 species
GACGAACGCUGGCGGCGUGCUUAACACAUGCAAGUCGAACGGAAAGGCCCUGCUUGCAGGGUACUCGAGUGGCGAACGGGUGAGUAACACGUGGGUGAUCUGCCCUGCACUUCGGGAUAAGCUUGGGAAACUGGGUCUAAUACCGGAUAGGACCGCACUUUAGUGUGUGUGGUGGAAAGUUUUUUCGGUGUAGGAUGAGCUCGCGGCCUAUCAGCUUGUUGGUGGGGUAAUGGCCUACCAAGGCGGCGACGUGUAGCCGGCCUGAGAGGGUGUACGGCCACAUUGGGACUGAGAUACGGCCCAGACUCCUACGGGAGGCAGCAGUGGGGAAUAUUGCACAAUGGGCGCAAGCCUGAUGCAGCGACGCCGCGUGGGGGAUGAAGGCCUUCGGGUUGUAAACUCCUUUCGCUAGGGACGAAGCUUUUUGUGGCGGUACCUAGAUAAGAAGCACCGGCUAACUACGUG